CUUGUUGAACACUGCUAAAAUCAGCUGUCUCCCAUUUCAUAACUAGCUGCAAAGGAAUAUUCUGUAUAAGCAGACCUACUUCUUCCCACAUCUAUGGUUAACAAGCAAAUGAACCUAUAUAUCCACAUCUCCAAAGGGAAAGUUUUUUUUCCCAUGUGAAAUCUGAUAUCCCAGAUUUUGAACUACAGCUUCACUGAAGCUAGAGGAGAAGUUUUAGGAGGAUGAUGAAAUAUUUAUUCCAGGUUCAGACUUUAAAGUAUGAGUUAUGGUUUCUGGAGUGUCCAGGGAUACUUUGUGAUGAGUGACACUGGGACUGCUGAAUCUUUACAGCCAUUAAACAUCACUGUCUGGAAGGAUCUGUUAAAACAUCAUGGGAAGGCAUCCUGGCUCUUCUGGGAGAGCAAAGCCCUGGGAACCUUCGGGAGCACCAUCUCCUCCUUGGAGGCAGCACCGACUCAGGAUUGUGUUUUCCAAGGUUAUCAUGUGCCAUCCAGCUCAGUCAGGAUAAAAUAAUAAAUUAAGCAAACAAACCUACCUCAAAAAACAAACAAACAAAACCCCUACCAAAUCAAAGUACUUUUGUGACAAGAAAGAAGCAGAGUCCAAAGGGUUAGAAACACACAGUCCCCACCAGCCAGGGAGCAUCAGCUGGGCUGCCCAAAUAGCUGCAAUUAACCUCCUGCUGAGACUGGUGUGGAUCACCUCCCCUGUGCUGCCUCCACAGCCUCCCCCAGACUGCAUUUUCUACUUGGGUUGUAAAUGUUUGAGAGGCUGCUGUUCAGUGGUAUUUAGACUGUGCCCAGCAUGAUGGGACCCAGGAGCUUUCAUCAAGUCCUGGUGGCCAACUUGACCACAGGAAGGUUGGGGGUUGCAUGCACUGAUCCUGCAUCAGCCAGCAGCUGGACAUUCAGGUUCUGGAACAGUUCUUGCUCUUUGUGUUUGGGUGUGUGAACUGCCUGAAGCUAGCCUUCAGAAUCUGGCAUGGCUGUGAAUUUUUUAUUCCUGGAUGAAAAUGUUUGAGGACAAAAGUAUCAUUAGCCCUGAUUUUCCCAGACUGAUAUGCAGACAGAAGGAAGGUGUAAAGUUACUCUUCAGAGUCAUAAUUUGAGGAAUAUUAUGGGUCCUGUCUGUACUGUCCCACAUUGUUUGGAGUGAUGUGGUUUACUGUGGUUAUUGCUAAAAGUCAAGACUCAUUUGCUGAUACUCAGAGAUUCUUGUAGCUCCCCUGGCUUCCAUAUCCAUGGCAGAGUAAUCUUCCUAACCGGUGAUGGAUGAGAAAGGUGGAUACCAUAGCUCUGUUUAUUUGCAGGGAAGAUGAUGGACCUUUCAGAAUAAAAAGUGUAUAGGGAAAAAAUUGGAUAUUCA
rnacentral:lncRNA from 1 species